GUGCUUGCUUUGCUAGCACACAUACUAAAAUUGGAACGAUACAGAGAAGAUUAGCAUGGCCCCUGUGCAAGGAUGACACACAAAUACUUCCAGAAGAGAGAGAAAGAA